rnacentral:rRNA from 1 species
CCCAGACUCCUACGGGAGGCAGCAGUGGGGCCUCUUGCACAAUGGGCGCCCGCCUGAUGCAGCCCUGCCGCGUGUCUGCAGAAGGCCUUCGGGUUGUAAAGUCCUUUCAGCGGGGAGGCAGGUGUUGAGGUUCCUAGCCUCAGCCAUUGACGUUACCCGCAGAAGAAGCACCGGCUAACUCCGUGCCAGCAGCCGCGGUACUACGGAGGGUGCAAGCGUUAAUCGGAAUUACUGGGCGUAAAGCGCACGCAGGCGGUCUGUCAAUGCGGAUGUGAAAUCCCCGGGCUCAACCUGGGAACUGCAUUCGAAACUGGCAGGCUGGAGUCUUGUAGAGGGGGGUAGAAUUCCAGGUGUAGCGGUGAAAUGCGUAGAGAUCUGGAGGAAUACCGGUGGCGAAGGCGGCCCCCUGGACAAAGACUGACGCUCAGUUGCGAAAGCGUGGGGAGCAAACAGGAUUAGAUACCCUUGUAU